rnacentral:rRNA from 1 species
UUGAACGCUGGCGGCAUGCCUUACACAUGCAAGUCGAGCGGUAGAGGGGCAACCCUUGAGAGUGGCGAACGGGUGAGUAAUAUAUCGGAACGUGCCCAGUCGUGGGGGAUAACGCAGCGAAAGCUGCGCUAAUACCGCAUACGAUCUAUGGAUGAAAGCGGGGGAUCGCAAGACCUCGCGCGAUUGGAGCGGCCGAUAUCAGAUUAGGUAGUUGGUGGGGUAAAAGCCCA